CUUUUUAUUAUUAUUUAUUUUUUUUCCUUUUAUCAUUUCUCUAUGGUUGGUCGGGUUUGGUUGCUAUGAGAAAAUGCAUCUAAGAGCAUCUCCACUAGUGUUGCAUCAAAGAGACUCUCUCUCUCUCUCUCACUCUCUUGACGGAAACAACGAUUCUCUUCCCUUGAAUCAAUUGAUUUCUGACACCAAUUUUACACUUUCCCCUCUUUGAGUUGUUUCGUCGUCUUCAGCUCUUCAUUGGCCGUUGUACUUUCCAGUGACAAGAAAGAGAGAGUUCGAAGAGAGAGAGCGAGACAGAUCCUCAUCGUCUUGGUUCUUGUUUCUUCCUCGAUCUCUUGAUCUUCUCCUCUGAUUUAAGGCCUAUGUUAAAGCUGCCGAGUGUUUACUAUAAAAAUUAAUCAUUGGGAUAAUCAUUUGAAAUUAAUGGGGGUAGGGCUAGUGAUAACUGGAAGACAUUGAAGGAGAUUGAGAAAACGAUUAAAGUUUAUUGGGAUGCCAAAGAUCGUUUACCACCAUGGGUGUGGCAAACGGCUUCUCUUUACCAUUUGGUUCACACUGCUGCUCUUGUUUCUUUAUAAUUGAAGUAGUCGAGACCAGAAUCUACAUGAGAAUUAUAUAAUCUUGAUUAGUUGAUUGGGUGAUUAGAUCCAUUUGCGUUUACUGAACCAUGGUUUUGAUUUUGAAUUCCCUUUGACCAUUGAGUUUCCUUGAGCAAAGAAACUUGUCAUGUCUCACUAUCAGACUUUUAUUUAGACCUUUCACAUGAUGACGAUGAUCUUGUGUCAAGUAAAAGGCAGUUUCUUUAACAAUUCUAUAUAUAUUUGUUGAAGCAAUCAUACAUAUUUGAUGACUCUUAUUUAGACCUUUCACAUGAUGAUGAUGAUCUUGCACAAGUCAUUUGUAUUUAUAUAUGAUGUUGUUUUGCUUCUGUGCUUAGUCGAUGCCCUGCAGCAAAUCGCUACCACAUUAGGCUGUUUUUUAUAAUUCAGUCUUAAAAUAAAAUAUAUUAAGAAAGCUUCUUCUAAUUCUCUAUUUUGUGCAGAUUGGAGAUAUGCUAUGGGUUUGAAAAAUGAAGAAGAUUCAUAACCAAAAAGUAAAAUUGUGUAAAAUACUGAUGAUGAAGAUGAUUAUAAUGAUCUUGAUGAUGAGCUUGUACCAAGGAGCGUGAGCAAGAAGCUUAAAAGACAGAGGAUUCGGAAAUUGGGAAAGAGAUGUUCGUAUUUGCAGUUGAAACCUGGGUUUGCUCAUCAGCUCAUGACAAGCAUUGGUUUGGCAUCAAUUUCAGAUGCUGAUUCAAUUUCUAGAAAAUUUUCAUCAAUAAAACGGUUUAGAUUACUCAUGUUUUUGUGUGUAAAUGGUAGUGUUGGAUCUUUGUUUAUUGAUUUGUUCUUGGAUAGUUCAGUUUAUGCAAUCUUGUAAAAAUAGAUCUUUAGGUGCUAUAUGAAUUGUGUUACCUCUUUCUUUUAUAGAAGAAUCAAUGAAGAACAGUUAACUUCAUCUAA